rnacentral:rRNA from 1 species
CCUGACGAAGCAACGCCGCGUGGAGGAUGAAGGCCUUCGGGUGUAAACUCCUGUCGACCGGGACGAAAGCUGUUGGACCCAAUACGUCCGGCAGUUGACUGUACCGGUGGAGGAAGCCACGGCUAACUCUGUGCCAGCAGCCGCGGUAAUACAGAGGUGGCAAGCGGUUUUCGGGGGGAAUUACUGGGCGUAAAGGGCGCGUAGGCGGUUCGGUAAGUCCUGUGUGAAAUCCCUCGGCUCAACUGAGGAACUGCACGGGAGACUGCCGGGCUUGAGUUCGGAGAGGGAAGCGGAAUUCCGGGUGUAGCGGUGAAAUGCGUAGAUAUCCGGAGGAACACCGGUGGCGAAGGCGGCUUCCUGGACCGACACUGACGCUGAGGCGCGAAAGCUAGGGGAGCAAACGGGAUUAGAUACCCCGGUAGUCCUAGCUGUAAACGAUGAGCGCUGGGUGUAGGGGGUAUCCAACCCCCCCUGUGCCGAAGCUAACGCAUUAAGCGCUCCGCCUGGGGAGUACGGUCGCAAGGCUG